rnacentral:rRNA from 1 species
UACGUAGGGUGCGAGCGUUAAUCGGAAUUACUGGGCGUAAAGCGUGCGCAGGCGGUUUUGUAAGCCAGAUGUGAAAUCCCCGGGCUUAACCUGGGAAUGGCAUUUGGGACUGCAAGGCUUGAGUGCUGCAGAGGAGACUGGAAUUCCCGGUGUAGCAGUGAAAUGCGUAGAUAUCAGGAGGAAUACCGAUGGCGAAGGCAGGUCUCUGGGCUGACACUGACGCUCAUGCACGAAAGCGUGGGGAGCAAACAGG